UGCCAGCAGCCGCGGUAAUACGGAGGGUGCAAGCGUUGUUCGGAAUUAUUGGGCGUAAAGCGCGUGUAGGCGGUUCGUUAAGUCUGAUGUGAAAGCCCGGGGCUCAACCCCGGAGCUGCACUUGAAACUGAGAGACUUGAGGAUAGGCGGAGAAAACGGAAUUCCACGUGUAGCGGUGAAAUGCGUAGAUAUGUGGAAGAACACCGGUGGCGAAGGCGGUUUUCUAGCUUAUUCCUGACGCUGAGGCGCGAAAGCAAGGGUAGCGAACAGGAUUAGAUA
rnacentral:rRNA from 1 species